GCAGUGAAUUCAUAGCUGUUGUGGGGGUUACGCGGGGAAGUGAAACAUCUCAGUACCCGUAGGAAGAGAAAAUAAUAAUGAUUCUGCUAGUAGUGGCGAACGAACGUGGAUGAGGCUAAACCGUGUGCAUGUGAUACCUGGUAGGGGUUGUGUGUGCGGUGUUGUGGGCCCUGAUGAGGAUGGCUACUGACGUCCUGCCCGCGCAUUGUUGUUAGGUGAAGUGGUGUGGAAACGCCUGCCGUAGAAGGUGAUAGUCCUGUAGCUGAAGAUGAUGGUGUGUGGGUUGUUGGGUUGCCCGAGUAGCAGCGGGCUCGUGGAAUCUGCUGUGAAUCUGCCGGGACCACCCGGUAAGCCUAAAUACUCAGUGUGACCGAUAGUGGAUAGUACCGUGAGGGAAUGGUGAAAAGUACCCCGGGAGGGGAGUGAAAUAGUUCCUGAAACCAUGUGCUUACAAUCCGUCAGAGCACUUUUUGUGUGUGAUGGCGUGCCUUUUGAAGAAUGAGCCUGCGAGUCAGCGGCUUGUCGCGAGGUUAACCCGUGUGGGGUAGCCGUAGGGA
rnacentral:rRNA from 1 species